rnacentral:rRNA from 1 species
CCUACGGGAGGCAGCAGUGAGGAAUAUUGGUCAAUGGGCGCAAGCCUGAACCAGCCAAGUCGCGUGAAGGAUGACUGCCCUACGGGUUGUAAACUUCUUUUAUAAAGGAAUAAAGUGAGGCACGUGUGCCUUUUUGUAUGUACCUUAUGAAUAAGGAGCGGCGAACUUCCUGCCAGCAGCCGCGGUAAUACGGAGGAUCCGAGCGUUAUCCGGAUUUAUUGGGUUUAAAGGGAGCGUAGAUGGGUUGUUAAGUCAGUUGUGAAAGUUUGCGGCUGAACCGUAAAAUUGCAAGUGAUACUGGAAGUCUUGAGUACAGGAGAGGUAGGCGGAAUUCGUGGUGUAGCGGUGAAAUGCUUAGAUAUCACGAAGAACUCCGAGUGCGAAGGCAGCUUACUGGACUGCAACUGACGUUGAUGCUCGAAAGUGUGGGUAUCAAACAGGAUUAGAUACCCCUGUAGUC